GCCGCGAUGGCACAAUCUGGCACUGCGCUAGCCUUGAGAGCUGGUUCCCGCAAGGGUUUCUCGGUUCAAAUUGCAGAACGCGAGCGUGCGUUCGCAUGCAAGUCCGAGUCGCGGCG
rnacentral:tRNA from 1 species